rnacentral:rRNA from 1 species
AGUGAACGCUGGCGGUAGGCCUAACACAUGCAAGUCGAACGGCAGCACAGUAAGAGCUUGCUCUUACGGGUGGCGAGUGGCGGACGGGUGAGGAAUACAUCGGAAUCUACUUUUUCGUGGGGGAUAACGUAGGGAAACUUACGCUAAUACCGCAUACGACCUACGGGUGAAAGCAGGGGAUCUUCGGACCUUGCGCGAUUGAAUGAGCCGCUGUCGGAUUAGCUAGUUGGCGGGGUAAAGGCCCACCAAGUCGACGAUCCGUAGCUGGUCUGAGAGGAUGGUCAGCCACCCUGGAGCUGGGACACGGACCAGACGCCUACGGGAGGGAGCAGUGGGGAAUAUUGGACAAUGGGCGCAAGCCUGAUCCAGCCAUACCGCGUGGGUGAAGAAGGCCUUCGGGUUGUAAAGCCCUUUUGUUGGGAAAGAAAAGCAGCAGGUUAAUACCCCGCUGUUCUGACGGUACCCAAAGAAUAAGCACCGGCUAACUUCGUG